ensembl:lncRNA
CUUUAUGUGAGUGUUUUGAGGAUUAAUGAGUAAAUAAAUAUAAAGUACUUAAAACAGUGCCAGGUAUGUACUGAGCUCUCAAUAAAUGUGAGCUCUUAUAAUUUCUAUUGUUAUUCACUGGAAUGUUCACUGAAGAGAGAUUUUUGUUUUAUUCACCAACUUCAUCCUGGUGACUCGAACAGUGUCUAACGCAUAGUAGAUGCUUAAGGAAUGUGUGUGAAUUUAUUGUUGUAAACUCCGUUCCGACCAAAUUCUUCCCUGUAACAUACUUUAUAUACUCCUACCUCCACGCCCUUGCUCAUGCCAUUCCUGCCUCUGGAAGGGCUGUACCCGGUCCAGCCUAAUUUCUCCUACUACUUGGAAUUUCCAGCCCCAGCCUCCCCUCCCCUCAGAGGACCUCGCUGGCUCAGAACCUGCACAAAACCACCGCCCAGUAUAGGCUUGGUGGUUUGUGGCUGGGCUUUUAUGCUUUGGCUCCAAAGCACAGUUUCCGCACCGACUUGGCGCUUAGCGCUCCCUGCCUCCUGGGGUGGCCCCUAAGAACUGGAGCACCCCAGCUACUAUAUGUGUCCUUUAUCUUGUGACUUUGACAUUCAGACAGGGCUUCCCAGGUGAAGCCACCUGAAUAACUAGACACAACUAGACAUGUGGGCUCCAAACCACAGUUUCUGGGCUUCCUCAUUGGUGAGCUGAGAGACAUGGCAUCUGUGUGUCCGAGAAAGACGAGCCAGGCGGCUCCACAUCAACAGGCUGCCUUCCACCCGGACGGGGCGACAGCUGCCUGUAACUUGGCUGUUUACGCACUAAAAAAAGAAAUUCCAUGGUGACCAGUUGACUCAAGCCAGCUCCCGUUGUGAGGCGGUAGUUUCAAAGAAAUCCCUGAUGACACCAAAGGCUCUCCACCCAGUCCUUAAUAAAAAAGAGGGAAAACAGGAGCCGAGCUUGAGCAGGAGCACGCGUGAGUCAGUCGUCCGAACCGCCUGCAGGGUGCAGUCUCACGGCUGGAGCUGGAUCUAGAAGGUCUCGGCCUAACAGCCCCCUCCAGGCAGGCUUGUCCCCUGCAAACCCCGCUCCCCAGAGACGAGGCACUCACCACUUCCAGAGAGGGCCCGUUCUGCCAUCAGGAAGGUCUUCUCUGCCAGGCUGGGGGCUGGUGGACAGGAGACUGAGCUCACCAGUGCCAGGAAGAUGACCAUCUGGACCUGCCAUCCCUACAAAGAAACAACUUUGUUCUUUCUCUGGAGUUGCCAAACCCUAGAAUGUCAGUGCUGGAAAGGAGCUUGAGCCAUCUGGUCCCAGCGUGGCAGCCUCGUCUCCUGUCAGGGUCCACCUCUGCCUGAAGCAGUGGAUGUGGCCGGGUCAGAGGCUGGCUGUGAGGACACUGUGGUCCAUGUGCUCCAGGGUGCAGUGUGGAGAGGGCGUGGGCACGCGCCGCAUCUGGCCCAACUGCCCCUCCUACAGAUGGGCAAACCAUGCAAGUGAAGAUCCUUUCUCUUCCUUCACCUGACCCUCAGGACACCAGAUCUGACUGCUGUGUUGUCACAGGAGACAGGUUUGUG